GAAUAAAAUGAAGCACGACGCAGAAGACAAGAGUUGUAAGAAGAGGCAGUUGUAUUAAUUGCAAGGGCAGUAUGGUAAAUUGAAAGAAAGUCGGCUUUGAUCUGGUUGUGGUGAGAUCCUCCUGAUACGUCACGUGCCAAAGCGAGUUUUCUUCACAUUCACGUCGUUAAUUUCCACGUCACCCGUUUGAGGGGGAGCCCACACAAACCCUAAAAAUUGCCACAUACCACCAAUUUCACCUCAUACCCAAACGCCUUGACAUCCUUCCAAUUCUACUCCAUCAGACGACCAGGAACCCGCCACGUGUCCCAACAGCCCCAUCGCGGCCGUCCGUGGCAGAUGUCACGGUCAACUCCCAGCCAGCAAACAAAUUCACUCUUGCCGUUGGAUUUCCGUCACCUAGCUAAUACACGGCUAUGAUGCUGCCCGAAAUAUAAGCGGGCAGAUCUCAUUGCCUUUAAGAGGCACGCCCUCUCCUUCUCAUUUCUUCGCUCAAACCCUAAAUAUCUCUACACCGUCGUAAAAUUGGUGUCUAGUUUAAUUCGUUGUUUCUUUUCCCCCAAAAUUUUAGCCAAAUUUUUAAUCUAAUAUAGCCCCGUGCUGCCGCAGAUCGUUCGGCGAAGGGGUUUUCGCGGCGGAGAGGAGAUUCUGGCUGUUCGAUACAUGAUUUUUGGGGGAAAGUGCUGCCGGAGGCUCGACGGAGCUGAGCGCUGCCGACGGUGUGAUUCAUGGCGUCCGCCGUUCUAGCGAGUCAGAAUGAGUCGAGCUGGGCCCACAUGGGAAAGACGCAGUACGUGAAUCCCCACCUCAAUUCAAACCCUCAUCCUAACCCUAAGAAGAAGCAGAAGCAAUUCCACCCAUCUGCGGCCAACGGUGUCGCCGGUCGUUACCGCAGCAGCAACAACAACUUCGAUUCACCGGCCGUCACACAGACGGCGUCCGAUGAUGCCUAUUCUUUCAACCAGACGCCCGCCCCGCGUAACGUGGGGAACUAUGGCGGUCUUCUGACCUUCAACGUCGCUAUGUACACGAAAUCCGAGCUCCUGGAUCUCCGGAAACGCCUCUUUGCCGAACUCGAUCAGAUCCGUGAUUUGCGAGACCGGAUUGAGUCUGGUCGAUUCAACAUUGGCGAAACUCCUAGAUCUCAACCGAAAUCAAAGAAGUUUAGUGGCAGUAAACGGCCUGGCCCUGCGAUUGGAUCCGCCCCCAAGAAAUUGAACGAUGGAUAUGACAAUGGCAGUUUGGAGGCGGUUAAUUUUGGGGAUUUGUUGAAAGAAUGCGAGAAGAUUGUUGGUAAAUUGAUCAAACACAAAAAAUUUGGGUAUGUUUUCAGAGCACCUGUGGAUGCUGUUGCGUUCGGCCUUCUCGAUUAUCAUCAGAUUGUGAAGCAUCCCAUGGAUCUGGGUACUGUCAAAGCGAAUCUGGCGAAAAAUGUGUAUCGGACGCCUGUGGAUUUUGCUGCCGACGUGAGGUUGACCUUUAACAAUGCGUUGCUGUACAACCCUAAGACCGAUCCUGUUAACUCGAUGGCUGAGCAAAUGUUGGCACUGUUCGAGGAAAUGUUCAAGCCGGUGCAGGAGAAGUACAAUAUUGAGCUCGACAGGCGGCGUGAGAAGGAUCCCCGCGAGUUCAAAAUCAACAAUGACUUGCCGUUCCGGGAGGUUGAGGAAUUGCAGGGGAGCUCUUGGAACAAUGGUUGUCAGGUUCUGGCUGCAAAGAAGUCCAAGCCGAAAGCUAGCCAUGUUCCUGUCUCCCACAUUAUGAAGAAGUCUGAUAGAAUGCAUGCAUCAAUGCAAGCCCAUUCUACUGCUUCUACGACCUCUAACCCCCCACCACCGAUGAAUCUGCAGCCACCAGCACCGGAGCCCUUGCCCCCUUCACCCGUGAGAGCUCCUCCUCUGCCUGCGGCUAAGGAGCAAAAGGCUGGAAGAGUAGGGGCGCCCAAGCAGCCGAAGCCACGGGCUAAGGAUCUUAAUAAGAGAGAUAUGAGUAUGGAAGAGAAGCAAAAACUUGGAAUUGGGUUGCAGAGUUUGCCUCAGGAGAAAAUGCCUCAAUUGGUUCAGAUCAUCAGGAAGAGGAAUGAGCAUUUGGCUCAGGAUGGCGAUGAAAUUGAGCUUGAUAUUGAGGCCCUUGAUACGGAGACGCUGUGGGAACUGGAUCGAUUUGUGACCAAUUGGAAGAAGACGGUGAGCAAGAAUAAUAGGCAAGCGUUGAUGAUGAACAACAAUCCAGCCGCUGGAGUUUCUAUUCCCACCAGUCCUGUUACCGAUGCUGAUGUGGGCGCAAUGAGUGACAAAAAUGAUGAUUUGGACAAGAAGAUGAAAGACAACGAGGAAGAAGAUGUAGAUAUUGAUGACGAUAUGCCAGCAGCGAGCUUCCCUCCUGUGGAGAUUGAGAUUGAGAAAGAUGAAGGCCUCGGUGGUGGUGGUGGUGGUGGUGGUGGUGGUGUUGGUGUUGGUGGCAGCGGCAGCGUGGGCCAGGUUCAUGAUCAGGAUGAUAAUGGUCGAGGCAAUGCCAGCAGUAGCUCGAGCAGUUCUGGCAGCUCAAGUAGCGAUUCGUCAUCCUCGAGUGAUUCUGAUUCAAGGAGUUCAUCUGGUAGUGAGUCGGACGCAGAUGAUGCACAGUCUUGACAAGUGUUUGAGCAAAUUUGAAAAUGAAUGGAGUGCUCAGGUCGGGCAUUUGGCUGCUGUGAUAAACGAGCAUAUUUGUUCAUGAGAAUGGGAAAUGAGGCGGUGUGUCAUGGACGAGGGGUUUGGAUGGAGGAGGGGUUUCAUUGCAAAUGAAGAGAAAGAAUUUGGAAUUUUGUUCCAUUUGAGAUCUGCCAUAACACGUGUUGUCAUCCGAGUCCCAGAUAGUUAAAGUAGAAGUUGUUAAUUGUUUUUUAUUUCGGCCAACGUUUUUAAUCAAAUGGACCAGCUUUAUGUUUGUAGCUGGGGAAAUAUCUUCUUUUUACACAAUGCUAGUGCUAGAGAAAGAAAAAUCAAAUAUCUCCUCUCUAAAUUCUAUUUUAUGUUCAUCCUUCUACUAGUGUUCUAGCCUAUUUAACACUACAAAAUCUCAACAUUUUGUACUGGGGGAAGCAGAUGCCCGAUCAAGAUUUAAUCUCUUGGGUGCGUUGGGUGAAGAAGAGUUUGGUUAGGUUAAUUUGUACAGUUUUCGUCUCCCAAGAUAUAGUGGGAAUUUCUUCCAAGUGAACGAAAGCUAUUUAUUCA